AACGAACGCUGGCGGCAUGCCUAACACAUGCAAGUCGAACGAGACCUUCGGGUCUAGUGGCGCACGGGUGCGUAACGCGUGGGAACCUGCCCUUAGGUUCGGAAUAACUCCCCGAAAGGGGUGCUAAUACCGGAUAAUGUCUUCGGACCAAAGAUUUAUCGCCUUUGGAUGGGCCCGCGUUGGAUUAGCUAGUUGGUAGGGUAAAAGCCUACCAAGGCGACGAUCCAUAGCUGGUCUGAGAGGAUGAUCAGCCACACUGGGACUGAGACACGGCCCAGACUCCUACGGGAGGCAGAAGUGGGGAAUAUUGGACAAUGGGCGAAAGCCUGAUCCAGCAAUGCCGCGUGAGUGAUGAAGGCCUUAGGGUUGUAAAGCUCUUUUACCCGGGAUGAUAAUGACAGUACCGGGAGAAUAAGCUCCGGCUAACCCCGUG
rnacentral:rRNA from 1 species